ensembl:rRNA 5S_rRNA 5S ribosomal RNA
GUCUAUGGCCAUACCACCCUGAAUGAGCCCGAUCUCGUCUGAUCUCGGAAGCUAAGCAGGGUCGGGCCGGGUUAGUACUUGGAUGGGAGAAACACUGUGCUCUGUGUU